AGAAUUGUGCUUUCUACAGAGUUAAA
rnacentral:snRNA from 1 species